AUUCCUCUGUUAGCAUUGGCUUGUUCUAAAUGAUAAGCAGCGCUUUCUUCUUUGAUUUCCAAUUUUGACUUCCAAUGAUUCACUUCCAGCC